rnacentral:lncRNA from 1 species
UUUGUGGCUAAAACGAGAUACAUGACUAUUAAUAGCAUAUGGUCACACAUUAAUUGCUUCAUGUGACCAUCAACCUUCCACCUCCAAUUGGAACCCUAAUCUCACCUGCUGCCAUACGUCCACCUUCACCUCGUAUCCUUGAUAAUUACCAGUUUCAACAGUGCAUCAACAUCGAAUUGAAGUUUGGUUGGACUGUGGAUAUUUGAAGGAAUGUUGAAUGUUGAUGCUGUUACGGCUGUUGUUCUUGGACUGUAUGUUCUCCGUAUAACCGGAGUCGUGACAUGGAAGGAAUGCUUGGCUGAAGCUGUUGCAUGGGAUACCCUUACAAGGUUUUUUGUACCUUAACGAAUAUUUGUCAGGUCAUUGUUUGACUUUUAAUUGCAAUCCACUCCCAAGUUCCUUUGACUUUUGUAAGACUGCAUCUGCAUACACUAGUUACUGCUCUGUAACUUUGACUUCUAAAUAGAUGGUGACCACGUUAGAACAAUCUACUUGCAAGAAAUGCGAAAAUGCGAAAGACUCUGAGAAAGACUCUGUCAGUUGCUUUGAUGCUACAUGUAGGUGAGAGUGCAACCAUUAAAAACUCAUGAAACCGGCUCGGGCUCAAAGCUGGAGUUGUCUAGCUCGCCACUUAAGUUUCUGGUCUUCACAAAGAUAACAAGCCUGAACGACAUACUUACAGUGGCAUAGCCAGGGAUUCUUUUUAGAUUGGUUCUUGUGCUAUUAAUAAAACGACAGGUUACUUGUAGUGGCGGAGCCAUGAAUAUUUUUCGUUGGGGUCAAAAAAACAAUUAUCGGAGUUUGUUUAUAUGAAGUACUUUUUACCGGGUUAU